rnacentral:lncRNA from 1 species
CCCGAGUCCCAGGCUGGGAGGGCCCACAGUCCAGUAAACUAAUCAGGCCCCAACACACCCAGGAGAGCAGCUCCAGGAGCCUGCAUUGGGGAGAGAGCCUCAGACCCCUGCCACAGGCCUGCACCCCAGAAGUAGGAGCAUGGGAAGACCUCUCCUUGGCUCCUGGCCAGUGGAAGUAACAUUCCCCAGCCCUCUGGCUCCAAGGCAGCCUCAAGUCCCAGUCACUCCUUGGCACACCCUACCGGUUGGUCAGAGCUCACUGCCAAAGGGCACCUCAGUGAUGAGUGGAGGGAACAGGUGUUUAUCAGGAGCUUGCAUGCUUUGUCUCAGGGACGAUUAGUGACACAGCCAGGAAGGCAGGCUAUCCCCAUUUUACAGAUGAGGAAACGGAGGCUCAGGUUGGGCUGGUGACUAAGGGAAGCAGCAUGUGGCAGGGGGCUUGAGGCACGUCUGUCCAUCAUGAGUAACUAGGGAGCAGCCCUGCCACUCCUCAUGCGAUGCACCAGGAGCCGGGGAAGCUGCUUUCUAGGGGAUUCUAGCUAAGGCCAGAAGCAUCUCCCUGAGUGGUGGUGGAGGCCUCUGUCUACUCCUCCAGGACUGCCAGGGGAUAGGAGGGCACCGCUGACCUCACAGACACUCUUGGGUGAGUGAGCAUCAGCUGAGCGACGCCUGGUGACUACGCUUCUGCCCAGUGCUGUGCCCCCCUCUGACUCGGGCAAGGCACCACCCUGAACACCCCACGCUGUCCCAUGGAGGCCGCAAACUGCUCUGCAGAGCCAGGGUCUCCAGGAAUGGGGAGGGCAGUCACCCUCACUCCACUUGUGUUCAUGACCCAAAGGACUGCCUAGGUCUCCAGGCCCAUAGAACCCCCAAACCUCUUACUAGGCCACACUGGGGACCUUGAGCAGCAGGCUUGGAAUCCUAGGCCUUGUCUCCAGGUACAUAUCAGUACCCAGGCUUGGGAAGCUUUGGUCUCAGGGGGGCUGGCACUCAGGCCCUCUGCCUCAAGGAAGAGGCAUGUCCAGAUCUCUCCUGUCCAGCCCUGCUCCCUGCCCCUAUCCUUCACGGGGUCCCUAGGACAGGGUUAUAGAAGCUUCAUGCUGUCAGGGGAUGCUGCCACCCCAGUGCCAGGGUGGCUCCGCCCAGCCCCUUCCUGCUGCCGCCCUCGCUGACUCACCUGUCCAGCCUCCUACUGGGCUGGGGCGAGGGCUUGUUGCCCCAGAGCCUAGAUAGGCACCAGAGGCAGCUAUAAAAGCAUGUUGGGCCAGUCCUCAGCCUCCUAGUUCACCACUGUCUGCUGCCACACGAUGUUGGGAGGCCUGGGAAAGCUGGCUGCCGAGGGCCUGGCCCACCGCACCGAGAAGGCCACCGAGGGAGCCAGUGAGGACCUGGGGCUCCUUUCUACCUGGGCUGGGGGGAUCUGGGGCAGACUGGGUCCAUUGGAGGUGGAUGUUACUAGGCAGGCGAGGACCUGCGGGGAGGCCUUGGCCCCUCAGGAACCCUGGUCUCCUGCUCUACCAAGUCAGCACGGAGUUGAGGGGUGCAGACCUGGGGAGGUCUCCUGGGGGCAGGGCAUGAGUCCUGGUGCUGGGUGAACACUGGCAGCUUGGACCCUUCCCUCUGGAAAUCUGGGGAGCCUUUCUUGUCAAAACAGCCUAUUCUGAAUAACUUAUGCAGGAAAAGGAAGAUGGAUUUUUAUUUUUACCAUAACUUUAAAGCUUCAAAGAUUUCUUAACAAGUCACCAAGUCUGUUCAAAGUCAAAAAGGGCAUUUUCAAUUUCAUCCGAGUCCCCUAAAGCAUUUUUAUUUUUAUUUUUAUUUUUAUUUGAAAUGGAGUCUUGCUCUGGCACCCAGGCUGGAGUGUAGUGGUGCGAUCUCGGCUCACUGUAACCUCUGCCUCCUCGGUUCAAGUGAUUCUCAUGCCUCAGCCUCCUGAGUGGCUGGGAUUACAGGCACCCACCACCACGCCCGACUAAUUUUUGUAUUUUUAGCAGAGACGGGGUUUCGCCAUGUUGGCCAGGCUGGUCUCAAACUCCUGACCUCAAGUGAUUCAUUCCUCUUGGCCUCCCAAAGUGCUGGGAUUACAGGCGUGAACCACUGCACCUGGUCCCGAAGUGUAUGUUGUAUUCAGAGGUCAGCAGCUAUGUGUGGGGAGGCCCAGCCAGGCGCCACUCAUGGGUCAUCGUGUGAAAAACAGUCUUGCCUGAGUUUGUGUCCUCUUUCUAAAUGGCAGCAGACACGUAUUUUGUUUGUGACUCUGCAGCUGGUGUGGACCACCUGCUUUAACAUUUCACUAGCCUCUGAGUUUUGUAUGAUUCCUGUUGGGAGAAAAGCUGAGUGUUGGGAGAGAAGCUGAGGCAGGGCUUGCUAGACUUGCUGGCUCCUUGCUUCUAGCACUCCCAUUCUCUCAAGUAGCCAUAUGUUUCUCAUUCACUUGAUACACCGUUUCCUUUCAACCGCCACAUCCUCACCACCUGUUUCUUUGUUAGAUCACCAAUAACUAGCGUGGGCUCCCAGAACUCGGGGCCUUCGCAGCCUCCACACUCGCGAUGGCGCCCCGCUCCCAUUUUCUCUCUCAAACUGUCUCUUUCUCAUUCCUUUGACUCCACUGGACUUGCCGCCCCCGCGACCUGGUGUUGGGUCUCAUCACCCCAACAGAUUCCCAUUCUAAAGAUGAGGGAACCAAGAGGUGGAAGGUACAGUUAGAAUAAGAACCGUUUCUUCUGACUCUGAAAUCUUUCAGUUCUAGCAUGCUACCACCCACACUUUAAAAAACUCUGAAGUAGGCAGAGAAUUCCCUUUUGUUGGAGGAAUUGCUUUGAGAGACCUGGUUUUACUGGAUGAGGCUUUGGAAACCAACCUGAGGCAGGCGCUAGCACAUCCUGAGAGGGGUGUGACCUGGCACAGAGGCCCAGCCUGGGCUUCAUGUCUCAGCUGGCAAGAUGGCCUGCUCAUUGCCAUUCCAGGCCAGGCAGGGCCAAGGGGCUUCAGGGACCCAUGCCCUCAUGGGUGAAAUGUGUACAUCAAGCCCUGGAUUUAUUCCCAUUUGGAUGGAAACACUAGGCAAGGUAUUUUCUUGUUGAUAUAAAACAUUUUACAUAUUUAUGGAGUACAUUUGAGCAUUUCUUACAUGCACAGAAUGUGUGGUGAUCAAUCAGGGUGUUUGUGGUGUCCAUCACCUUGAAUAUUCGGUAUUACUAUGUGUUGGGUACAUUUCAAGUCCCCUCUUCUAGCUACUUUGUUUUUUCUUUUUGUUUCUGUUUUGAGAGAGAGUCUUGCCCUGUCACCCAGGCUGGAGGGCAGUGGCGUGAUCUCAGUUCACUGCAACCUCUGCCUUCCAUGUUCAAGCAAUUCUCCUGCCUCAGCCUCCCAAGUAGCUUGGACUACAAGCGCAGGCCACCACACCUGGCUAAUUUUUUAUUUUUUAUUUUUCGUAUUUUUAGUACAGACGGAGUUUCACCAAGUUAUCUAGGCUGGUCUCGAACUCCUGACCUCAAGUAAUCUAUCUGCCUGCCUGGGCCUCCCAAAAUGCUGAGAUUAUAGGCAUGGGAUACUGCCCCUAGCCUUCUAGCUACUUUGAAAUAUACAAUACAUUGCUGCUAACUAUAGUCACCCUAGGUGAAGUAUUUCGCAACAGAAACACUUUGCAUUUCCCCCGCGUCUCCUCUGCUGAGGUGGACACUGGCACUGGGGUCUCUGCUGCUGGUUGGAUAGGUCCCCAUGAUGAAUCAGAUGCUUCUCUCUCACACUAAGAUCUUUCACGUCAGGAAGGGGCUCUUCUGGAAGAAUAGUUAGUAUCUGUGCUACAUUUCCUAAAAAACUGUUUCCCCAGAAACUAUAUAUAACUUUCAGGCACCUCAGUGCUUCAAGAACACACUAAAGAAGGACCCUCAUUUGUCUUGCAUGUUUUUGGUAUUUUUCUUGAGAUGUUCUUGCAGGACUCAGGGCAGAUAACAGACCAGCUUGAUGAAGAAUUUAGCAAGGAAGGCCCCCACUGAGCUGCUUCCUGUUCUCACAGAGAUCAGAUAAGCAUUUCUGCUGGACAGUUACAGAAUCUGGUCAAGGAGAGACUGAGUCACUGCUCAAUCAUCCUAGAAGCCGCUGUUGAUUUUUUUUUUUUUUUUUUUUGAGAUGGAGUCUCGCUCUGUUGCCCAGGCUGGAGUGCAGUGGCAUGAUCUCAGGUCACUGCAAGCUCUGCCUCCCAGGUUUACGCCAUUCUCCUGCCUCAGCCUUCCGAGUAGAUGGGACUACAGGUGCCCACCACCACACCUGGCUAAUUUUUUUUAUUUUUUUUGUAUUUUUAGUAGAGACGGGGUUUAACUGUGUUAGCCAGAAAGGUCUUGAUCUCCUGACCUCGUGAUCUGCCUGCCUCAGCCUCCCAAAGUACUGGGAUUACAGGCGUGAGCCACCACACCCGGCCUUUUUUUUUUUUUUUUUUAAGACGGAGUCUCACUCUGUUGCCCAGGCAGGAGAGCAGUGGCAUGGUCUCGGUUCACUGCAACCUCCACCUCCUGGGUUCAAACAAUUCUCCUGCCUCAGCCUCCUGAGUAGCUGGGACUACAGGCACCUGCCACCACACCCAGCUAAUUUUUUGUAUUUUUAGUAGAGAGGGGGUUUCACCAGGAUGGUCUCGAUCUCCAGAUCUCGUGAUCCACCCGCCUCAGCCUCCCAAAGUGCUGGGAUUACAGACGUGAGCCACCGCACCUGGCCCAGAAUAUUAAUUGAGAGACUGAUGUCAGGCCUAAGUGUUGAUAGUGGGUAGUAGUGGGCAAGAUGCCUGGCCCUCUCUCUUUCUUCUCAUGAGCAAGUCAGUAUCAGAGAGGUUAAACAUAUCUUUAGCAUUUAACUUAAAAUUUUUUUAAUAAAAAAAGAAAUAAUUUGUAAAAAUGUUGCAUCCCCUUUUUCUCUUGCUGGAAGCCAUUUGUUCUUAGAAGAAAUGAGAAGAAAAUGUGUUUUGCUUAAAAAAUAAGUGAGCUGCUCACCCUUUCUCUGGAUCUCAUCUGGAAUUGGCCUCACAGUUUGUGAACAGCCCAGAAAUAGCCAAUGUCUUAGCUUUGGAACGUUUGCCACUUUCCAGCUACAGCUGGACCUUGUAUCCUGGUUUGGUUCCUGAUGACUUUCAAAUUCUCCUGAUCCAAACGCAAGCUCAGAGGCACGAGCACAUUGUUGGUGGCAGUACAGACUGAAACACCCUCUUUGGAUGGCGGUUCCUCUCACAGGACUUUAUUCUCCAGGUGUGCACAGGCACACACAGGUGCCCAAAGGAUAAACACACAGAUCUAUUGUAGCAUAUUUGUAUUAUUGAGAGAUUAGAAACAUCCUAAAAUGUUAAUCAAAUCACUUGGAUGAAAAGUUUUGCUCUGCUUAUUAGGUUUGGCAUACAAUAUGGAGGUGACAUCUAUUACUUCCAGUGUAUUAUAGAUACUUUAGCUCGAAAAAUGAGACCUGUACCUAGAUGGGCACCAAAAGGGACUGGUUAACAAAUAUUGCAUAUACAGGGGUUGCCCAGGCUGGAGUGCUGUGGCACUAUCUUUGCUCACUGCAGCCUCCGUCUCCUGGGUUCAAGCGAUUCACCUGCCUCAGCCACCCAAGUAGCUGGGAUUACAAAUGUGUGCCACCACACCUGACUAAUUUUUGUAUUUUUAGUAGAGACAGGGUCUUACCAUGUUGGCCAGGCUGGUCUCAAACUCCUGGCCUCAAGUGAUACGCCUGCCUUGGCUUCCCAAAGUGCUGGGAUUACAGGCCUGAGCCACCAUGCCCAGCUCGGUACCAUAGUUUCUUGAGGAUAGAGACUAAUGUGUUGCAAUUUAUUGGUUUCUGUAUCUGCACUCAGUGGUUCUCAACCUCGGUUGCAUAUUAGAAUCAUCUGUGGCGCUUUUUAUUUUUAUUUUUGAGACAGAGUUUUGCUCUUGUUGCCCAGGCUGGAGUGCAGUGGUGUGAUCUCGGCUCACUGCAACCUCUCCCUCACGCGUUCAAGCGAUUCUCCCAAGUAGCUGGGAUUACAGGCAUGCGCCACCACGCCUGGCUAAUUUUUGUAUUUUGAGUAGAGAUGGAGUUUCACCAUGUUGGCCAGGUUGGUCUCAAACUCCUGACCUAAGGUGAUCCACCUGCCUUAGCCUCCCAAAGUGCUAGGAUUACAGGCGUGAGCCACUGCACUCGGCCUUGUGGUGCUUUUUAAAAUGCCACUACCAGGUACCAGACCAAUAAAAUCUGUCCCUAAGGAUGAGAUCUGGGUGUGUGUGUGUGUGUGUGUGUGUGUGUGUGUGUGUGUAAAACUUCAUUGCAUCAUCAUUUAAUCCUAUAUGCUGAUAUGCUGUCUUUUUUUAGGGACUCAGUAGCUGUAAACGUUUUCUAGGUGAUUUUAAUAUGUACUGAGGGUUAAUUGAAAUCCAUUGGUAUAGCACAAUGGCUGACAUGUAGCUAACACUCAAUAAAUGUUUGAAUAGUGAAUGAAUAGAUAUUUAGAUCCUCUUUUUUUU